UACGUAGGGUGCAAGCGUUGUCCGGAAUUAUUGGGCGUAAAGGGCUCGUAGGCGGUUUGUCGCGUCUGCUGUGAAAAUCCAGGGCUUAACCCUGGACCUGCAGUGGGUACGGGCAGACUGGAGUGCGGUAGGGGAGAUCGGAAUUCCUGGUGUAGCGGUGAAAUGCGCAGAUAUCAGGAGGAACACCGGUGGCGAAGGCGGAUCUCUGGGCCGUAACUGACGCUGAGGAGCGAAAGCAUGGGGAGCGAACAGG
rnacentral:rRNA from 1 species